GGGGAAUAUUGGACAAUGGGGGCAACCCUGAUCCAGCAAUGCCGCGUGAGUGAAGAAGGCCUUAGGGUUGUAAAGCUCUUUCGCCCGUGACGAUGAUGACGGUAACGGGAGAAGAAGCCCCGGCUAAUUCCGUGCCAGCAGCCGCGGUAAUACGGAAGGGGCUAGCGUUGUUCGGAUUUACUGGGCGUAAAGCGCAUGUAGGCGGCGGAUCAAGUGGGGCGUGAAAGGCCUGGGCUCAACCUGGGAACUGCGCUUCAGACUGGUUCGCUCGAGUUCGGGAGAGGGUGGUGGAAUUCCCAGUGUAGAGGUGAAAUUCGUAGAUAUUGGGAGGAACACCGGUGGCGAAGGCGGCCACCUGGCCCGAGACUGACGCUCAAGUGCGAAAGCGUGGGGAGCAAAC
rnacentral:rRNA from 1 species